rnacentral:lncRNA from 1 species
CGUAACAAAGUAUCUAGAAAACAAUACACCUAUAUCAGUAAUUGCAACAAAACAUGACGAUGUAAUCAUGAUACUAUCGUUCGCAAACGUCAAAGAUUAAUGCAUGAACUUUGUUUAUCAGUCACAAUUCGAGUAUUGAAUUGUACAGAACAUUCAUGCCAAGUCGAUGCCAGUACUUAAGUCAAAAAAAAAAUGUCAUCCGUGGUCAGGAAGGUCGGCUGCACCAUAUGCACCUUGCUUGUUCAAUGCAAUAACUCCACCAGAAAACAUUGGAUAAUGUUGAGCUAUUCGUCGAAUAGCUGUCUCAGCAGCAGCUCCUGGCGAAGAUCCUCGCCGCAUCUCUUCUACAGCUAAAAAGCUAAAA